UCUACAGUAGCUACUACCAUCUCUGUGUUUCCAGGUAGAGAAGGCCAGCAUCAGGAAUGUCAGCAGCAGCAGUAGCCUCCAUCAUUAUUUCUACUCUGACCCUCAGACUGGGUCUGCAUGGGACUGGGCUUUCAUAUCAGGCAGGGGGCUGUGAAACCAGCCCACCAAUCAGAAGACAGAACACAGCCGUGGUGCUGAAAAGUAGGAAUGCAGAUCUCUCCUUGACAUCCCGACUGGGAGCAACCCCCUUCAAUCUUACCCCUCAAAUCCACCUCAACCCCCCCCCUUUAAUCUCCCCCCCCCCCAGUCCUCCCACUCUCUCCGACACGUCUUAAUGCCUCUCGACCCCUGACCCUCUACCAACUCAACCCAUCCCCCUCCCCCAUACCACCUCACAAUAUGUCUCAAUGUCUCCUACCUAUGACCCCAAACCCCUUUACAGUCCUUCAAACCUACAACAUCAACCCCUCUCCCCUCCCCUGCCACCCCUCAAUAUCUCCACUCGAACACCCCUUCAUCUCCAGUCUGGGUCCAACCUGCA